rnacentral:rRNA from 1 species
UGGGGAAUUUUGGACAAUGGGCGCAAGCCUGAUCCAGCCAUGCCGCGUGAGUGAAGAAGGCCUUCGGGUUGUAAAGCUCUUUCGGCGGGAAGAAAUCGUGUUCUCUAACAUAGGACAUGGAUGACGGUACCGGACUAAGAAGCACCGGCUAACUACGUGCC